CUACGUGCCAGCAGCCGCGGUAAUACGGAAGGUCCAGGCGUUAUCCGGAUUUAUUGGGUUUAAAGGGAGCGUAGGCUGGAGAUUAAGUGUGUUGUGAAAUGUAGACGCUCAACGUCUGAAUUGCAGCGCAUACUGGUUUCCUUGAGUACGCACAACGUUGGCGGAAUUCGUCGUGUAGCGGUGAAAUGCUUAGAUAUGACGAAGAACUCCGAUUGCGAAGGCAGCUGACGGGAGCGCAACUGACGCUUAAGCUCGAAGGUGCGGGUAUCAAACAGGAUUAGAUACCCUGGUAGUCCGCACAGUAAACGAUGGAUGCCCGCUGUUGGUACCUGGUAUCAGCGGCUAAGCGAAAGCAUUAAGCAUCCCACCUGGGGAGUACGCCGGCAACGGUGAAACUCAAAGGAAUUGACGGGGGCCCGCAACAAGCGGAGGAACAUGUGGUUUAAUUCGAUGAUACGCGAGGAACCUUACCCGGGCUUGAA
rnacentral:rRNA from 1 species